rnacentral:lncRNA from 1 species
UAAUAUUUCUAAAACCACUGGGUGUUUGAUAUGCAGCCCCUAUAUAAAACUGGAUUGUUUUUUGUUCAUACUGCCUUGAUCCAGCAAAGGUGAAUUUGUGUGUGCUAAUUUCUUUUUCCAUUAUCCUAGUGUAUCUAGCCCUUAUUCACAUGUCUGAGGGAAGCGGAGGAUGUUAAUAGACUUUCCUCUUCCUUCCUUUUACACAGAUGCUCAAAGAUCAGCCUCUGUCCACCUCUGCAUGCCAGAACAGAGCUGAGGACUACAAACCUAUUUUUUCCUAAAGUAGUCAAGGGAGGAUUUGGAUACAAGCUGUGACAAUAAGGACUUACCACAGAGAGAAGUGUCUGCUUUCUUUGUAAAUGUUGGUUGGAUGGAUGGGAACUAAAAUGUUAGUGAAACAGUCACUUUUUUCAAACUACUAUUCAAAUUAUUCUCAUCAUUAACAUAAAAACUGUUAGUGUUUUGACUGACGAUUUAACUAUACUUGGCAGAAAGUCACAGAAAGAAAAUGUAUAGCAGACUAUUAGCAUUUUCACUCCUUGUUAAAGAUUUAAAGAAUAAAAAAGCCCUAAAAAUAUAACCA